CCUGCGGGUGGCAGCAGUGGGGAAUAUUGGACAAUGGGCGAAAGCCUGAUCCAGCCAUGCCGCGUGUGUGAAGAAGGCCUUCGGGUUGUAAAGCACUUUCAGUGGGGAAGAAAGCCUUGGGGCUAAUACCCUCGAGGAAGGACAUCACCCACAGAAGAAGCACCGGCUAACUCCGUGCCAGCAGCCGCGGUAAUACGGAGGGUGCGAGCGUUAAUCGGAAUUACUGGGCGUAAAGCGCGCGUAGGCGGUCUGAUAAGCCGGUUGUGAAAGCCCCGGGCUCAACCUGGGAACGGCAUCCGGAACUGGCAGGCUAGAGUGCAGGAGAGGAAGGUAGAAUUCCCGGUGUAGCGGUGAAAUGCGUAGAGAUCGGGAGGAAUACCAGUGGCGAAGGCGGCCUUCUGGACUGACACUGACGCUGAGGUGCGAAAGCGUGGGUAGCAAACAGGAUUAGAUACCCGGGUAGUC
rnacentral:rRNA from 1 species